rnacentral:misc_RNA from 1 species
GCAGCGUAUCCGGCGCCGAUACUUCGGCUGACUGAUCCUCGGAAGUGGAAGAACCAGCGGUUUACAACGAACGAGUUUGUUUGUGUAUUGUGGAACCAGCCGGCUCAGCUUUGGCUCAGCUGACCGUGUCAUUCCGCAAAAUGUCUUUGUUUGCUUAGUUAGUUUAGUUAUGUGUUAUUUUGAAAGAUUUUGUCAACGGCUAAAUUAAAUAAUUAUAGUGGACAGGGCAGAACCUCGGUGAGUAAUUUCAUAUACUUGCCUAUCUACUACUGUUACGUUCCAUAUCCUCGGCGUUACGUUCCAUAUCCUCAGUAAUUGUCAGUAUUUGUGUCAGAAUUUGUUAUGACGAAUGCUUGUUUACUUUUGUGUUUUGCUUUGUUUCAGAAACCACUUUUACACUCUCACUCGAUCAUGUUCAGUUCAAAUAUAUCGUCAAGUUCAUUUCAAAUAAAUCACAAGUGAUGAGUCGGUGCGUUUAGAGAUCUGACCGUCUAAGAAUUGGAAGAACAGAAAGGUAGCCGGCGACAACAGUUUCGAGGGUUCACCUACAUUGAGAAACCACUUUUACACUCUCACUCGAUCAUGUUCAGUUCAAAUAUAUCGUCAAGUUCAUUUCAAAUAAAUCACAAGUGAUGA